rnacentral:snRNA from 1 species
UGCCUUAAACUAAUGAGUAAGGAAAACAAAGCGUCCGGUGAGAACCGGUCGCGGCGCUAAUCGUAAAACACAAAAUUGGCGCAAUAAUUUAUGGAGGGGUUAUAGGCUGGCCGAUGUGUUGACGCUGCUUACUUUUGCAGAACUCACCUCGUGCGGGCCUCCCUACACCCAUCCC